CAACAGUGCACCUGACAGUAAUUGGAAGAGAAGAUGUUGUCAUCCAAUUCCCUCAGGAGCAGAACAUUAGGCUCUGGUUAUGCAACUUCAAGUGAUCUCAGCAAAGCCGGCGUGCGCUUACCAUAGGAGGCAGUGCGCAUGCGGCGGCAAGCAGGAAGAUAGGGGAGAUGACAUGGAAGUUCAAGCUACUGACCAGAUGCAGUUCUCCAAGUCACGGCCCUACAGUAAUACAUCAAAAGAUACUCCUCCACAACCAAGAAAGUGAGAAAUUGUGAAAUCAAGUGGAUUGCGGCAUAAAAUCUGUUUGCACGUCCACAUAUGCUGCACCUACUAUAUCAGCUGGAA